GAUAAACGCUGGCGGCAUGCCUAAUACAUGCAAGUCGAACGAAGAAUAUGAAGCUUGCUUCAUAUUACUUAGUGGCGAACGGGUGAGUAACACGUAGUUAACCUACCCAUUGGACUGGGACAACUUUUGGAAACGAAAGCUAAUACCGGAUAGGAAGAAAUUUUAAAGAAGCGUGUGCUUCACCAAUGGAAGGGACUGCGUCUGAUUAGCUAGUUGGUAGGGUAAGAGCCUACCAAGGCGACGAUCGGUAGCCGGACUGAGAGGUUGAACGGCCACACUGGGACUGAGACACGGCCCAGACUCCUACGGGAGGCAGCAGUAGGGAAUCUUGCACAAUGGGCGAAAGCCUGAUGCAGCAAUGCCGCGUGAGUGAAGAAGGUUUUCGGAUUGUAAAACUCUGUUAUAUGGGAAGAAUACUAUAAACAGGAAAUGGUUUAUAAAUGACGGUACCAUAUGAGAAAGCCACGGCUAACUACGUGCCAGCAGCCGCCGUAAAAC
rnacentral:rRNA from 1 species